CCUACGGGAGGCUGCAGUGGGGAAUAUUGGACAAUGGGGGAAACCCUGAUCCAGCGACGCCGCGUGAGUGAAGAAGUAUUUCGGUACGUAAAGCUCUAUCAGCAGGAAAGAAAAUGACGGUACCUGACUAAGAAGCCCCGGCUAACUACGUGCCAGCAGCCGCGGUAAUACGUAGGGGGCAAGCGUUAUCCGGAUUUACUGGGUGUAAAGGGAGCGUAGACGGUGAUGCAAGUCAGAAGUGAAAGCCCGGGGCUCAACUCCGGGACUGCUUUUGAAACUGUGUAACUGGAGUGCAGGAGAGGUAAGCGGAAUUCCUGGUGUAGCGGUGAAAUGCGUAGAUAUCAGGAGGAACACCAGUGGCGAAGGCGGCUUACUGGACUGUAACUGACGUUGAGGCUCGAAAGCGUGGGGAGCAAACAGGAUUAGAUACCCCUGUAGUC
rnacentral:rRNA from 1 species